rnacentral:rRNA from 1 species
GACGAGCCACACAAACGUUAUUCGGAAUCACUGGGCUUAAAGGGUGCGUAGGCUGCGCGGCAAGUGGGGUGUGAAAGCCCUCGGCUCAACCGAGGAAUGGCGCUCCAAACUACCGUGCUAGAGGAAGACAGAGGUAAGCGGAACUGAGGGUGGAGCGGUGAAAUGCGUUGAUAUCCUCAGGAACACCGGUGGCGAAAGCGGCUUACUGGGUCUUUUCUGACGCUGAGGCACGAAAGCUAGGGUAGCAAACGGG